GUAAAUAAUAAAGGGCGUAUGGUGGAUGCCUAGGCUCUCAGAGGCGAUGAAGGACGUGAUAAGCUGCGAAAAGCUCCGUUUAGGUGCAAAUAACCUUUGAUGCGGAGAUCUCCGAAUGGGAUAACCCAAUAUGUUGAAGACAUAUUAUACCGUAAGGUAGGCAAACGCAGGGAACUGAAACAUCUAAGUACCUGCAGGAGAAGAAAACAAACGUGAUUCCCCCAGUAGCGGCGAGCGACCGGGGAUAAGCCCAAACCGUUAUUGUUUCGGCAGUAGCGGGGUAGUAGGACUGCAAUAUUGAUGUAAUAAAUGAAAUGGAAUACAUUGGAAAAUGUGAUCAUAGAGGGUGAUAAUCCCGUACAUGUAAGUUUAUGAAUCAUAGCAGAAUCCUGAGUAAGUCGGGACACGUGUAAUCCUGACCGAAUCCGCCGGGACCAUCCGGCAAGGCUAAAUACUCCUGAGAGACCGAUAGUGAACCAGUACCGUGAGGGAAAGGUGAAAAGCACUUCGAACAGAAGAGUGAAAUAGUCCCUGAACCCAUACGCCUACAAGCAGUCGGAGCCGCUUCGUGCGGUGACGGCGUGCCUUUUGCAUAAUGAGCCUACGAGUUACUCAUCACCAGCGAGGUUAAGUACUUCAGGUACGUAAGCCGAAGCGAAAGCGAGUCUGAAUAGGGCGUCAAGUUGGUGGUGGUAGACGCGAAACCUUAGUGAUCUACCCAUGGGCAGGGUGAAGGUUUGGUAACACAAACUGGAGGCCCGAACCGGUAAACGUUGAAAAGUUUUCGGAUGACCUGUGGGUAGGGGUGAAAGGCCAAUCAAACUGGGAAAUAGCUCGUACUCUCCGAAAUGCAUUUAGGUGCAGCCUCUGUUGUUUUGUUCUAGAGGUAGAGCUACUGAUUGGAUGCGAGGGCUUCACCGCCUAUCAAAUCCGGCCAAACUCCGAAUGCUAGAACAUAAAGACAGGGAGUGAGCCAGCGGGUGCUAAGGUCCGUUGACGAAAGAGGGAGAACUCAGACCAUCAGCUAAGGUCCCCAAUUAUAUGCUAAGUUGGAAUAAAAACGGGGUGGGACUGCUUAGACAGCUAGGAUGUUGGCUUGGAAGCAGCCAUUCAUUUAAAGAGUGCGUAACAGCUCACUAGUCGAGCGGUCCUGCAUGGAUAAUACGCGGGCAUAAGCAUAUAACCGAAGCUAUGGGAUUGUAGAUGAUACAAUCGGUAGGAGAGCAUUCCAUUCAGCAUAGAAGCAGUAUCGUGAGGUAUUGUGGAGCGGAUGGAAAAGCAAAUGUAGGCAUAAGUAACGAUAAUGCGGGUGAGAACCCCGCACGCCGAAAGAUCAAGGAUUCCCCGGCAAUGUCAAUCAUCCGGGGGUAAGUCGGAUCCUAAGGGUAAGCCGAGUGGCGAUCCCGAUGGUAAACAGGUUAAUAUUCCUGUACUGAUCAUAACUGCGAUGCAGCGACGCAGAGGUGACACUGCUGCGUACUGACGGAAUAGUACGUUGAAACCCGUAUUCUUUGAUACCGGUAGUGAAGCACGCCGGUAGAGAUGAAAGGUGAUAGUACCGCAAUGCUUCGGUUGCGCGGAUAACGCAGGUAAGCUGACUGCCAAGAAAACCUGCUAAGCUUCAGGUAAUGAUCAUCCGUACUGUAAACGGACACACGUGAUCAGGUAGAAAAUACUAAGGCGCUCGAGAGAUUCAUGGUUAAGGAACUAGGCAAAAUGGUCCUGUAACUUCGGGAUAAAGGACGCUCUUGUGAAAGAGCCGCAGAUAAUAGGCCCAGGCGACUGUUUACCAAAAACACAUGGCUAUGCUAAUUCGCAAGAAGAUGUAUAUGGCCUGACACCUGCCCGGUGCCGGAAGGUUAAGAGGAGAGCUCAGAGGUAACUCGAAGGUUUGAAUUGAAGCCCCGGUAAACGGCGGCCGUAACUAUAACGGUCCUAAGGUAGCGAAAUUCCUUGUCGGGU
rnacentral:rRNA from 1 species